AAUAGUAAAUCCCACCGGCUGCCUUCCUGUCCGUUCAUGAUUGGAACAGGCAUGUUUCAGCCAGCUCGAGGUGCACUUACCAAGGUUGCAAAUUACAUGAUUUACGUAUAUAUAUUGUGAGAAGAAAACCCAAAGAAACGAUUAUGUGUAUUUUAGCGAAGUCUGCUCGUGAACCACAGCUUGGAAUUGUGUAAUCACGACAUGACAUCAUGAUUCCCCAAAAAAAUCCAGACCAUAGUUAGCACAGUAUGGACACCUAAAUCUUGAACAUUCUAAAAUAAUUACAAGAUCCUCAUUUUUCUCUAUUUAUACCAGAAAGUAAGAAGAACCGCAAGCAAUCAUCAGGAAAUACCAAAUCUAGGGGUUACAGAAAGUCAAAGUGUUCCCAUCAAACUGCGGAGAACACUAUUGUUCUACGUUGUUUUUAAUCAAAACUAAUGUUCUACCUGGGAAGAAAAAUGACAGAUGCAACUCAUGCAGAUGACCAGGCCCAGUGAAAAUAAUCAACACCAUUGAUGUUUGAGUUCUAAAGCAAUUUGCAGAGUCGUAGUCCUCGAGUAUUUGGUCUCUGUAUUUUCUUGUUUUUUUCAGUACAUUGUUUCCCAAGCAUAUUCUAUGUAUAUAGUUCCGGUCAAUCACGCAAAUACCUAGAAGAAAAGAAGAAAACUAAAGUGAAAAUGCUGGGAAAAUCACAAGAUUAAUAAACAAGACAUGUAGAGGAAAAAUUAUUAGGCAUUCAACACGACAUAGAAACAAAAAAAAUCUUGUCUCGAAUUGAUUUUAAUUAAGGUUAGCUAUUAAUUCUAAAAAGGAAGAGACUUAGCUGUUUGUUUAUCUGGAAAACAAAAGGCUUAGCUGUUCAUUAAUUUCAAUAUUGCAGAGUUAUAGUCCUCAAGUAUUUGAUCUCUGCAUUUCUUGUUUUUUGUCCAGUGCCUUGUUUUCUAAUUUUAUUGUAGAGUGCACGUUUAUUGUAAACCAAUGCCCCUCCAUCCUCGAGUUACCUGCCCACCAUAUGGUAGCUCUUCUCCUCCAUUUUGCUGCUCCAUGUGGUAUCCUUGAAAAUGCUAAAUUAUAUUGUGUCUUUGCUUUGUAUGUAGUCCUGAACAAUCACACAAAUAUCUAAAAGCAAAGAAGAAAACUAAAGUGAAAUUGCUGGAAAAAUGAGAAGACAAAUAAUGAUCAUAACCUAAAUAAAAACAUUGCUAUGUAUGUACUUCUUGUACAUUUAAGGUAGUUUUCUUCCCGUCCACCCCAACCCAUCUCUCUCAAGAUUUGACUGAUCAAUAAUGCCCAUAACCUAAAUAAAAGAAGAAUAGUCAAUGCCAAGUAAUAUAGACG
rnacentral:lncRNA from 1 species